rnacentral:rRNA from 1 species
GUGGGGAAUAUUGGACAAUGGGGGGAACCCUGAUCCAGCCAUGCCGCGUGUGUGAAGAAGGCCUUUUGGUUGUAAAGCACUUUAAGCGAGGAGGAGGCUACCGAGAUUAAUACUCUUGGAUAGUGGACGUUACUCGCAGAAUAAGCACCGGCUAACUCUGUGCCAUCAGCCGCGGUAAUACAGAGGGUGAAAUCGUUAAUCGGAUUUACUGGGCGUAAAGCGCGCGUAGGUGGACAAUUAAGUCAAAUGUGAAAUCCCCGAGCUUAGCUUGGGAAUUUCAUUCGGUACUGGUUAGCUAGAGUAUGGGAGAGGAUGGUAGAAUUCCAGGUGUAGCGGUGAAAUGCGUAGAGAUCUGGAGGAAUACCGAUGGAGAAGGCAGCCAUCUGGCCUAAUACUGACACUGAGGUGCGAAAGCAUGGGGAGCAAACAGGAUUAGAUACCCUUGUAGUCC